rnacentral:rRNA from 1 species
UACAGAGGGUGCAAGCGUUAAUCGGAAUUACUGGGCGUAAAGCGUGCGUAGACGGUUAUUUAAGUCGGGUGUGAAAGCCCCGGGCUCAACCUGGGAAUUGCAUUCGAGACUGAAUAGCUAGGGUGCGGAAGAGGGAAGCGGAAUUUCCGGUGUAGCGGUGAAAUUCGUAGAUAUUCGCAGGAACACCAGUGGCGAAGGCGACUUGCUGGAUCUUUGCUGACGCUGAGACGCGAAAGCGUGGGGAGCAAACAGG